rnacentral:rRNA from 1 species
UACAGAGGGUGCAAGCGUUAAUCGGAAUUACUGGGCGUAAAGCGUGCGUAGACGGUUAUGUAAGUCGGGUGUGAAAGCCCCGGGCUCAACCUGGGAAUUGCAUUCGAGACUGUGUAGCUAGGGUACGGAAGAGGGAAGCGGGAAUUUCAGGUGUAGCGGUGAAAUGCGCAGAUAUCGGGAAGAACACCCGUGGCGAAGGCGGUUCUCUGGGACGGUACUGACGCUGAGACGCGAAAGCGUGGGGAGCAAACAGG